UGUGGGAGCGGGCUUGCUCGCGAAGAGGUCGUGUCAGUCGCUAGAGAUGUCGGCUGACAGAUUGCAUUCGCGAGCAAGCCCGCUCCCACU
rnacentral:antisense_RNA from 1 species